rnacentral:misc_RNA from 1 species
GAUGAAGAACGUAGCGAAACGCGAUACGUAAUGUGAAUUGCAGAAUUCAGUGAAUCAUCGAAUCUUUGAACGCACAUUGCGCCCGCCAGUAUUCUGGCGGGCAUGCCUGUUCGAGCGUCAUUACAACCCUCAGGCCCCCGGGCCUGGCGUUGGGGAUCGGCGGAGCCCCCCGUGGGCACACGCCGUCCCCCAAAUACAGUGGCGGUCCCGCCGCAGCUUCCAUCGCGUAGUAGCUAACACCUCGCGACUGGAGAGCGGCGCGGCCACGCCGUAAAACACCCAACUCUUCUGAAGUUGACCUCGAAUCAGGUAGGAAUACCCGCUGAACUUAAGCAUAUCAAUAAGCGGAGGA